CCUCCUCCCUCUCUGCCACCUUCUCCUCCUGCUGCUGCAGCUGUGGGGCCGGAGCCCAGGCCAGAAGGUGACGAGAUGACACUCCUGCCACAAGCAGAGAAGAGCCAGCCGUGACCAGGAGCCCUGGAGGAGCGGAACAGCUGGGGAAGGCCAAGGGCACCCUCGGAGGUGGAGGGGAGAAGACAUGGGGACGCCGCGGGAGGCUGGGGCAGACGUCUGGCCGUCCCCGGGCUCCCCACUCUGACCCCGUUGUUCCAGGCAGGCGGCGCAUGCAGACGCGGGUCGCUCACGCGCAUCCCAGGACGGUGCCAUCGACCCCACGUCCAGCACCCAGCUGUGCCCCUGGGCCCAGCCCAUGCCCAGCUGCCCCUCACAGCCUCCUGCUGCCCCCCCCGCUGCCACCCCCCUGCCCUGUCCUCUCCAGGGAGGGCCCUGCUUCCCCUCCUUGCUCUUCACCUCUUGAGACAAAGCCAAUAAAGAUGCUCCCCGUGUGAGUCAGCUGCUCCCGCCAAA